UAGCAACUCAAGACAAAAAAGCCGUCUUCAAUGUAGUGCUGUUCGACAUCUGUAUUUUGACUCUACUCCUUCAGGUCCUGAUGGUGGUACCAGACUGGUCACUAGAAGAUGCCUGUUACUGAACUACCUCAAGGUCCUGACUGUUGUACCAGACUGGCCACUAGCAGGAAGCUCUUUGCUGUGACAGUGAAUGAAGUUGAUGUCCUUGUGGGUCUGCAGUCUUCAGGAAGGUCUUGACUGUUCCAGCCUGGCCACUGGAGAACUGUUGCUGUACGACCUCAAGGUUUCUGCCCCUCUGGUUGAGGUCCUGGUGUCUGCAGGGUUUGGAAAGAUCUGGUUGGCUGCUGAAGUGUUGCUGUGCUGAUGGAGUGGGAAGCUCUCCUGUUUUACACCGGCAAGACCUCUUACACUCCUGAUUGGUCAGCAAGGGAAGUGGGGGAAACCAGGCCAAGUCAAUUCAACCUCACGACUGUGUUUUGAUGUAUGAAUAAAUCUACAAAUGAA